rnacentral:misc_RNA from 1 species
CCUGUUCGAGCGUCAUUGCAACCCUCAAGCUCUGCUUGGCAUUAGGCCUCACCUGUUAGGCGGGCCAUAAAAUCAGUGGCGGUGCCAUUAGGCUUCAAGCAUAGUAAUACUUCUGCUUAGGAGACUGCGUGUUACCUGCUAAUAACCCCAAUAUUUUAAAGGUUGACCUCGGAUCAGGUAGGGAUACCCGCUGAACUUAA